GAAGAGUUUGAUCCUGGCUCAGGAUGAACGCUAGCGGCAGGCUUAACACAUGCAAGUCGAGGGGUAACAGGGAGUGCUUGCACUCUGCUGACGACCGGCGCACGGGUGCGUAACGCGUAUGCAAUCUACCUUUUACAGGAGAAUAGCCCAGAGAAAUUUGGAUUAAUACCCCAUAUUAUCUUUUAUUCGCAUGAAUUAGAGAUGAAAGUUUCGACGGUAAAAGAUGAGCAUGCGUCCUAUUAGUUUGUUGGUGAGGUAACGGCUCACCAAGACUACGAUAGGUAGGGGCCCUGAGAGGGGGACCCCCCACACUGGUACUGAGACACGGACCAGACUCCUACGGGAGGCAGCAGUGAGGAAUAUUGGACAAUGGAGGCAACUCUGAUCCAGCCAUGCCGCGUGCAGGAUGACUGCCCUAUGGGUUGUAAACUGCUUUUAUACAGGAAGAAACAUUUCCACGUGUGGAAACUUGACGGUACUAUAUGAAUAAGGAUCGGCUAACUCCGUGCCAGCAGCCGCGGUAAUACGGAGGAUCCAAGCGUUAUCCGGAAUUAUUGGGUUUAAAGGGUCCGUAGGCGGUUUUUUAAGUCAGAGGUGAAAGCCAGCCGCUCAACGGUUGAACUGCCUUUGAUACUGAUAGACUUGAGUUAUUGUGAAGUGGUUAGAAUGUGUGGUGUAGCGGUGAAAUGCUUAGAUAUCACACAGAAUACCCAUUGCGAAGGCAGAUCACUAACAAUAUACUGACGCUCAUGGACGAAAGCGUGGGGAGCGAACGGGAUUAGAUACCCCGGUAGUCCACGCCGUAAACGAUGGAUACUAACUGUUCGUCCCGCUUGCGGGAUGAGUGGUCAAGCGAAAGUGAUAAGUGACCCACCUGGGGAGUACGUUCGCAAGAAUGAAACUCAAAGGAAUUGACGGGGGCCCGCACAAGCGGUGGAGCAUGUGGUUUAAUUCGAUGAUACGCGAGGAACCUUACCAGGACUUAAAUGUAGUGGGACAGGUCUAGAGAUAGACCCUUCUUCGGACUCAUUACAAGGUGCUGCAUGGUUGUCGUCAGCUCGUGCCGUGAGGUGUCAGGUUAAGUCCUAUAACGAGCGCAACCCCUAUCGUUAGUUGCCAUCAAGUAAAGUUGGGAACUCUAGCGAAAC
rnacentral:rRNA from 1 species